rnacentral:rRNA from 1 species
UACGGGGGGGGCAAGCGUUGUUCGGAAUUACUGGGCGUAAAGGGCUCGUAGGCGGCCAACUAAGUCGGACGUGAAAUCCCUCGGCUUAACCGGGGAACGGCGUCCGAUACUGGAUGGCUUGAGUUUGGGAGAGGGAUGCGGAAUUCCAGGUGUAGCGGUGAAAUGCGUAGAUAUCUGGAGGAACACCGGUGGCGAAGGCGGCAUCCUGGACCAACACUGACGCUGAGUGAGCGAAAGCCAGGGGAGCAAACGGG